UUACUCCUACGUCUGCGCCUGCGCCAGGUGUUCCCCCAUGCGCCUGCGCACCGCAGGGAGCUCCAGUGUCAGGCUCCUCCUCCUCACUCUUUCGCUUUCACUUUCCCAACAGCAAGGGGAUCUUCCAGUUGCUUAAGAAUUAGAUGGAAAAUGAAAGGGGAGGCUUUCCCCUUUUCCCCAACUGCUGGAACCCGGACUCUAAUAUCUGCACCUGGCCGAGUCUUGUGAGAGACAGACACACCCACACAACAGCACAGAGUCUUGGGGAACAUCUACAGUUGGGAGAGGAGACCCUCACAAUAAGGACAUCUUUGUUAAACAGCUCUUCUAUUAAAUUAUUCAGUUAUCAUCAUCACCACCACUGCCACUACCUUCAACAACAAGAAGUAUUCAUUAAGUCUUUAUUGGUGCUACAUACUGUGCCAAGAACCAAGGAUGGGUGCAAAAAAAAAAAGGAAAGGCAAAACCAUGGUCUCCCUUAAGGAGCUCACAUUGUAAUGAGGGAAACAAGAUACAUAUAAGGUAAAUGGAAGGUGAACUGAAAGGGAGGCUCCAAAAGGAGGAAUGACCAAGAAAGGUCUCUUGUAGAAGAUGGGAUUUCAGCUGAGUCUUGAAGGAAGCUAAGGGAGUUAGGAGAUAGAGUUGAGAAGGGAGAGCAUUCCAGGCAUUGGGGACAGCCAAUGAAAAGUCACUGAGUCAGGAGAUGGAGUGCCAUGUGGGAGGAGUAGCAAGAUGACCACUGUUAUUUGAUGGUAGAUACAUGGAGGGGAGUAAAGUGUAAGAAAUUAGAGUGAUAAGGAAGGGCCAGGCAGCAAAGAGAUUUAAAACCCAAAGAAGGUUUUAUGUUGAUCCUGGAGGUAAACUAUUGAACAAUUGAAGUUUGAGUGUUAGGAUGACAUGGUCUGAUGUGUACUUUUAGGAAGAUUCCUUUUAUAGCUAAGUAGAGAAUCAAGGAGACUAGCCAGAAGGCUAUUUCAGUGGUCAGAGGGAAAUGAUAAGAGCCAAAGUGAAGGCAAUGUUAGAGGAAAGAAAAGAGUACUCAGGUGGCAGAAUAUAGGACAGAUGUUGUAAAAACUAGUGACAGUAAAACAUGGCAAAAAAAUGAAUAUGUGGGUUGAUUGUGAGACAUGAAUUGGGUAUGACACUUGAGAUUGUGAGCCUGGGUGACUGGGAGGAUCUUGAUGCCUUCGAAAAUGAUAGGGAAGUGUGGAAGAGGGGAAGGUUUUGAGGGAAAUAUAAGUUCUGUUUUGGACAUGAUUAUAUUUGAGAUGACUAUGGAUCAUCUAGUUCAAAAUGUCCAAGAUAUAGUUGGUGAUUUGAGACUUGAGCUCAACAGAGAUAUUAAAUAGGUUGGGCAAAUAGAUUUGAGGAUAUAAUGCAUAGAAAUGAUAGUUGAAUCCAUGAGAGCAGAUGAGAUCAUCAGGUUAAAUAGUAAAGAAAAGGAAAAUAUGAGAAAUGAAAAAAAAUUAUUUGAAAACUCAAAUUAGAAUAAAAUAUUUAAUUAUCACCUUGAUAUCA
rnacentral:lncRNA from 1 species